UACAGAGAGUGCAAGCGUUGUUCGGAAUUAUUGGGCGUAAAGCGCGUGUAGGCGGCCUUGCAAGUCGGGUGUGAAAGCCCUCAGCUCAACUGAGGAAGUGCGCCCGAAACUGCUUGGCUUGAGUACCGGAGAGGAUGGUGGAAUUCCCGAAGUAGAGGUGAAAUUCGUAGAUAUCGGGAGGAACACCGGUGGCGAAGGCGACCAUCUGGACGGAUACUGACGCUGAGACGCGAAAGCGUGGGUAGCAAACAGG
rnacentral:rRNA from 1 species